AAACGCGAAAAAGCCAGAGAUUUAAAAAGAAGAUCCAAUACGAAAGCUCACCUUUGGCGGUGAUUCGGCGGUGGUGGCGAGCUUGCAACUGUCUUUCUUCGCUAAGUUUCAGGGUAUUCAGCCGUCGAUUGAAAUUAGGGUCCGUGGUCUUGUUCGCCUCUUCUCCCCCCAAAAAAAAACCUCUCUCACGCUCAAACGCUCG
rnacentral:lncRNA from 1 species